CGUUCCCGGGCCUUGUACACACCGCCCGUCACACCAUGGGAGUUGGUUCUACCCGAAGCCGGUCCGCCAACCGCAAGGGGGCAGCCGACCACGGUAGGGUCAGCGACUGGGGUG
rnacentral:rRNA from 1 species